AUUGAACGCUGGCGGCAGGCCUAACACAUGCAAGUCGAACGAGUGGCGGACGGGUGAGUAAUGUGUGGGAUACUGCCCGAUGGAGGGGGAUAACUACUGGAAAUGGUAGCUGAUAACGCAUACCAUCGGAUGUGUCCAGAAGGGAUUGGCUCGUAGGUGGGGUAACGGCUCACCUAGGCGACGAUCCCUAGCUGGUCUGAGAGGAUGAGCAGCCACACUGUAACUGAGACAUGGUCCCGACUCCGACGGGGGGCAGCAGUGGGGAAUAUUGCACAAGGGGCGCAAGCCUGAUGCAGCCAUGCCGCGUGUAUGAAGAAGGCCUUCGGGUUGUAAAGUACUUUCAGCGAGGAGGCGGUACUCGCAGAAGAAGCACCGGCUAACUCCGUGCCAGCAGCCGCGGUAAUUC
rnacentral:rRNA from 1 species